CCUACGGGAGGCAGCAGUGGGGAAUUUUGGACAAUGGGCGCAAGCCUGAUCCAGCAAUGCCGCGUGAGUGAAGAAGGCCUUCGGGUUGUAAAGCUCUUUUGUCAGGGAAGAAACGGGUCUUUCUAAUACAGAGGUCUAAUGACGGUACCUGAAGAAUAAGCACCGGCUAACUACGUGCCAGCAGCCGCGGUAAUACGUAGGGUGCAAGCGUUAAUCGGAAUUACUGGGCGUAAAGCGUGCGCAGGCGGUUUUGUAAGUUUGUCGUGAAAUCCCCGGGCUCAACCUGGGAAUGGCGAUGAAGACUGCAAGGCUAGAGUUUGGCAGAGGGGGGUAGAAUUCCACGUGUAGCAGUGAAAUGCGUAGAUAUGUGGAGGAACACCGAUGGCGAAGGCAGCCCCCUGGGUCAAAACUGACGCUCAUGCACGAAAGCGUGGGGAGCAAACAGGAUUAGAUACCCUGGUAGUCCACGCCCUAAACGAUGUCUACUAGUUGUCGGGUCUUAAUUGACUUGGUAACGCAGCUAACGCGUGAAGUAGACCGCCUGGGGAGUACGGUCGCAAGAUUAAAACCNAAAGGAAUUGACGGCUGAGACGUGCCGACGGACGACGACGAGGGAGGUUAGG
rnacentral:rRNA from 1 species